rnacentral:RNase_P_RNA from 1 species
CAGGUCGGUCGGGCGGUCGCGGUCUCGUCUCCAGACGAGGCUGAGGAAAGUCCGCACUCCACAGGGCACGGCGCCGGGGAAACCCGGGGCGGAGUAAUCUGCCGGAUCGGGCCACAGAAACAAACCGCCGAAGGCCCUCGUGGCCAGGCAAGGGUGAAAAGGUGGUGUAAGAGACCACCGGCGUCCGCAGUAAUGCGGGCGGCCAGGCAACCCCCGCCGGGAGCAAGGCCAAGCAGAGACGAUGGGACGGCCCGUCCCGCCAAGUCUCGGGUAGGCCGCCUAGAUAGAUGACCGCCCAGGGGACAUACGUCCCCGGACAGAAUGCGGCUUACAGACCGGCCUGGGAG